rnacentral:lncRNA from 1 species
GUCCAGCUUAACACCUAGAUCAUCAACCAAUGUAAUUCUCUCAAGAGAACUACCGCAGAGGGUGUAAGGAGCCAUAAAGGCUCGGAAAGGCUCAUAAAGGCUGGAGCGAUAAAAAGUCAUUACAUUGGACUUCGAGGCAUUAAGGUGUAACAUAUUUGCACUACACCAUAACUGAAAGCUAUUGAGAUCUGAUUGCAAGCGAGAGUGAGAUGAAAUGUCCUUAUACUGGGCGCAGAGCUUAACAUCAUCCGCAUACAUAAGUACUCGAGAAUUUGUCAAUACAGGAGGCAGGUCAUUAAUAAAGAGUGUGACAAGUAAGGGGCCUAAAUGACUACCCGGUGGUAGUCCAGAAGUAACCAUAAAAGUAAAGAUAAGGCGUUUUUGAAGAGGACUCUUUGAGACCUAGAACAUAGGUAGCUAGAAAUCCAUCUCAAAAGAUUUGGAGGAAACCCUAGAAGGUCGUGCUUUUGUGCAAGAAGAGAAUGGUUAACAGAAUCGAAUGCCUUACUUAAGUCAGUGUAAAUAACAUCCGUCUGCAAGUUACUUUGGAACCCUUUAAUGACAAAGGAGGUGAACUUUAAAAGAUUAGUGGUUGUUGAUCGUCGCCUUAAAAAUCCGUGCUGAGCUGGAGAUAUAGGUGAUUUGCAGAGAUGUUGCAAGAGCGGAGUUAAAAUUUUCUCGAACAUUUUAGGAAUAGAGGAUAACUUGGAUAUACCUUUAUAGUUUUUAGCGUCAGACUUGCUGCCUUUCUUAUGGAGAGGAAUUAUAAAGGAUUCCUUCCAGAUGGGGGGAAAGCUAGAAUAAUGGAUGAAUAAAGUGAAUAGUUUAAGGUCCGCACAGAGACUCUGCACAGUACCUGAGUACACAGCCGGAGUUCAUGAAGUUCAUGAAGUAAGGAGCUUUCAUUAAACAAAGGGCAGAAAAUGCCUUGGUAAACUAUAUGGAUACACAUGACCUGGGUAGCUUUCCUGGGAAUAGGUUGUUUAGGACUCACGCAUUAGGAUAGGUAAGAAAAGUGGCAAGUUAAUCAGUUAUUAUUAGAAGAUUUAUUUUGAAAAACCCGGUCGUUUAUUCAAAAUAGAAAGAAAAAUACGGAGCGCAAAAUAAAAACACGUCAGGUCACUACGAAAGAGAACGAACGAACGAAUCUAGAGCAGAUUGUCUCUAAGACACACUCCUCAUUAUUCGCGUUGAAAGUUGGUACUGACUUCACGAUAAC